rnacentral:lncRNA from 1 species
GGUCGGACUCACAGCAGAGGGACUGGUGUUUGCCUUGCAGCUUUUCUCUCAUUAAUAUUGCCUUUCCAUUCUCAUGCCCUCCCUACUUGAAAAGGGUAUGUUUGCCACCAGCUAUGGGAAGCACGUGACUCGAGCUUCACUUUCACGGUUGCUCGCGGCUAAGACGUAGCUCUGAGUUUCAGAAGAGACUCUGGAUUUGGAUUUCUGAAUGGCGUUGGGACUGUGACCUCAAGAAGACCUGGAUACCGCGAAAAGACCGUGUUUUACCAGAUUCACUGCACCAUUCGAAAUCUUCUGAGAUCAUAAAUAGACAAAGAAUUACUCCCAGGCUCCUCCCACCAGUGGUGAAGAUGUUCUGAAUGCCUCUGCUUUCUUAUUUUCUCUCCCACCCCUAACAAGGACACUUUAUUGGUAGAACUGGGGAAUCCUCACCAUACAUAGUUUUUGUAGCUUUUUUGGAAGCAAUAUUAUGAUUAAGAAAAUAAAAAUUACAUGAAG